UCCUACGGGAGGCAGCAGUGGGGAAUAUUGCACAAUGGGCGAAAGCCUGAUGCAGCAACGCCGCGUGAGCGAAGAAGGUCUUCGGAUCGUAAAGCUCUGUCCUAUGGGAAGAACACAAUGACGGUACCAUAGGAGGAAGCCCCGGCUAACUACGUGCCAGCAGCCGCGGUAAUACGUAGGGGGCAAGCGUUAUCCGGAAUCACUGGGCGUAAAGGGUGCGUAGGCGGUUUCUCAAGCCAGAAGUGAAAGGCAAUGGCUCAACCAUUGUAAGCUUUUGGAACUGAGAGACUUGAGUGCAGGAGAGGAAAGUGGAAUUCCUAGUGUAGAGGUGAAAUUCGUAGAUAUUAGGAGGAACACCAGUGGCGAAGGCGACUUUCUGGACUGUAACUGACGCUGAGGCACGAAAGUGUGGGGAGCGAACAGGAUUAGAUACCCUGGUAGUCCACACCGUAAACGAUGAAUACUAGGUGUCGGGGGUCGAACCUCGGUGCCGCAGCUAACGCAUUAAGUAUUCCGCCUGGGGAGUACGCACGCAAGUGUGAAACUCAAAUGAAUUGACGG
rnacentral:rRNA from 1 species